rnacentral:lncRNA from 1 species
AGUGGGCGUGCAGGAGAAGCUGUAGGUCAGGAGGUAGAGUUGGCAGUGGGCGUGCAGGAGAAGCUGUAGGUCGGAGAGGUAGAGUUGGCAGUGGGCGUGCAGGAGAAGCUGUAGGUCGGAGAGGUAGAGGUGGCAGUGGGCGUGCAGGAGAAGCUGUAGGUCGGAGAGGUAGAGGUGGCAGUGGGCGUGCAGGAGAAGCUGUAGGUCGGGGGGUAGAGGUGGCAGUGGGCGUGCAGGAGAACCUGUAGGUCAGAGUGGAGAGGUGGCAGUGGGCGUGCAGGAGAAGCUGUAGGUCGGGAGGUAGAGGUGGCAGUGGGCGUGCAGGAGAAGCUGUAGGUCAGGGGGUAGAGGUGGCAGUGGGCGUGCAGGAGAAGCUGUAGGUC